rnacentral:lncRNA from 10 species
AGCUUUGAAGCCGGCGAGCGGUGAGGAGGAGGCGCCCUCGCGUGUGGAGAGCGGACUCCGCCUGGACUCCACCGCCCACGGCCGCAUCCCAUCGCCGCACAAGAUCGCCGGAGUCAUAUUAUCGACGUAGUUAAAGCCCACUAGCCUAAAGCCGGGCGGACUGCGAAAAAACCAUGAAAAGCCAUCAAGCCCAAACAAAUUCCUGCUGGAGGAACUCCAGAUGUUGUGCAUCACUUCACAGGAUUUAUGACAGAGCCAAUCAAGGAAAUCAUGAAAGAGAUUGCAGAUAUGGCAAAAAAGGUUUCAAGAUACAAAUCUUGGAGAAAUUCAAGAGCUAAGAGACACCACACCAGAGGAAUUAACAGAAGACCACUUGAUGGAGAUGACUCCUUCUGAACCCAGUGCCAGACGAUGAGGAAGAAGACGAAGCAGUGCCAGAAAACAAAUUGACAUUAGACAAUCUGGCAGAAGGGUUCCACUUAUUCAAUAUGGCUUUUGACUUCUCUUAUAACAUGGACUUUUCUAUGAAACAGGCACUGAAUCUAAAGCAAAUGGUGGAAGAAGAAUUGGUGCUAAAUGGAAACAUGUUUAGAGAAAUGGAAAAGCAAAAAAGUCAGACAAAUUAUGAUGUAUCUCCAUCAGAUUACACUUAUUGUGCCUCCCUCUCCUGCCUCCUCUUCCACCUCUUCUACUUCUGCCACCCCUGAGACAGCAAAGCCAACCCCCGCUUCUCAGCCUAUUCAAGGUGAAAAUUAUGAGGACGGAGACAUUUAUGAUGAUUCACUUACACUUAAUGGAGAGUAAAUAUAUUUUCUCCUCAUGAUUUCCUUAAAACGUUUUCUUUAGCUUACUUUAUUAUAAGAAUACAGUAUAUAACAUAUGUAACAUACAAAAUUGUCGAGUGCGGUGGCUCACAUCUGUAAUCCCAACACUUUGGGAGGCUGAGGCAGACGGAUCACUUGAGACCAGGGGUUUGAGACCAGCCUGGCCAACAUGGCGAAACCCCGUCUCUAUUAAAAAGAUAAAAAUUAGCCAGACAUGAUGGUGCGUGCCUGUAAUCGCACCUACUCGGGAGGCUGAGGCAGGAGAAUCUCUUGAACCCAGGAGGCGGAGGUUGCAGUGAGCCGAGAUUGCACCACUGCACUCCUUGCCUGGGUGACAGAGCAAGACUCCAUCUCAAAAAAAAAAAAGUGUUAAUUGUUUAUGUUGUUGGUAAGACUUCCGAUCAA